GGCCCGCACAAGCGGUGGAGCAUGUGGUUUAAUUCGAUGCAACGCGAAGAACCUUACCUACUCUUGACAUCCAGAGAAUUUAGCAGAGAUGCUUUAGUGCCUUCGGGAACUCUGAGACAGGUGCUGCAUGGCUGUCGUCAGCUCGUGUUGUGAAAUGUUGGGUUAAGUCCCGCAACGAGCGCAACCCUUAUCCUUUGUCGCCAGCGAUUCGGUCGGGAACUCAAAGGAGACUGCCGGUGAUAAACCGGAGGAAGGUGGGGAUGACGUCAAGUCAUCAUGGCCCUUACGAGUAGGGCUACACACGUGCUACAAUGGCGUAUACAAAGAGAAGCGACCUCGCGAGAGCAAGCGGAACUCAUAAAGUACGUCGUAGUCCGGAUUGGAGUCUGCAACUCGACUCCAUGAAGUCGGAAUCGCUAGUAAUCGUAGAUCAGAAUGCUACGGUGAAUACGUUCUCGGGCCUUGUACACACCGCCCGUCACACCAUGGGAGUGGGUUGCAAAAGAAGUAGGUAGCUUAACCUUCGGGGGGGCGCUUACCACUUUGUGAUUCAUGACUGGGGUGAAGUCGU
rnacentral:rRNA from 1 species